rnacentral:rRNA from 3 species
GGACUACAGGGGUAUCUAAUCCCGUUCGCUACCCUGGCUUUCGCGCCUCAACGUCAGUGGGAGUCCAGGACCUUGCUUUCGCCAUCGGAGUUCCUGCCGAUCUCAACGCAUUUCACCGCUCCACCGGCAGUUCCAGGUCCCUCUCCUCCACUCGAGGACGGCCAUCUCGGCGCCACUUCCCCGGUUGAGCCGGGGGAUUUCAGCGACCGAUGCGCCGACCCGUCUACGCGCCCUUUAAGCCCAGUGAUUCCGAAUAACGUUCGCACGGUUCGUCUUACCGCGGCUGCUGGCAC